GAUGAACGCUAGCUACAGGCUUAACACAUGCAAGUCGAGGGGAAACGACAUCGAAAGCUUGCUUUUGAUGGGCGUCGACCGGCGCACGGGUGAGUAACGCGUAUCCAACCUGCCCAUCACUUGGGGAUAACCUUGCGAAAGUAAGACUAAUACCCAAUGAUAUCUCUAGAAGACAUCCGAAAGAGAUUAAAGAUUUAUCGGUGAUGGAUGGGGAUGCGUCUGAUUAGCUUGUUGGCGGGGUAACGGCCCACCAAGGCAACGAUCAGUAGGGGUUCUGAGAGGAAGGUCCCCCACAUUGGAACUGAGACACGGUCCAAACUCCUACGGGAGGCAGCAGUGAGGAAUAUUGGUCAAUGGGCGAGAGCCUGAACCAGCCAAGUAGCGUGCAGGAAGACGGCCCUAUGGGUUGUAAACUGCUUUUAUAAGGGAAUAAAGUGAGAGUCGUGACUCUUUUUGUAUGUACCUUAUGAAUAAGGGCCGGCUAAUUCCGUG
rnacentral:rRNA from 1 species